rnacentral:rRNA from 1 species
CCUACGGGAGGCAGCAGUGAGGAAUAUUGGACAAUGGGCGCAAGCCUGAUCCAGCCAUGCCGCGUGCAGGAUGAAGCAUCUAUGGUGUGUAAACUGCUUUUGUACAGGAAGAAACCUCCCGACGUGUCGGGAAUUGACGGUACUGUAAGAAUAAGGAUCGGCUAACUCCGUGCCAGCAGCCGCGGUAAUACGGAGGAUCCAAGCGUUAUCCGGAAUCAUUGGGUUUAAAGGGUCCGUAGGCGGACCAGUAAGUCAGUGGUGAAAUCUCUCCGCUCAACGGGGAAAUGGCCAUUGAUACUGCUGGUCUUGAAUUAUUAGGAAGUAACUAGAAUAUGUAGUGUAGCGGUGAAAUGCUUAGAGAUUACAUGGAAUACCAAUUGCGAAGGCAGGUUACUACUAAUGGAUUGACGCUGAUGGACGAAAGCGUGGGUAGCGAACAGGAUUAGAUACCCUGGUAGUCCACGCCGUAAACGAUGGAUACUAGCUGUUGGGGGCAACUUCAGUGGCUAAGCGAAAGUGAUAAGUAUCCCACCUGGGGAGUACGUUCGCAAGAAUGAAACUCAAAAGUAGUAAGUUAGGACGGCGUAGGAGACGUCGACCGAAGGCCGACACGGAGGGGAGGUUAGGG